GUUGAACGCAGCACUUGAAUCCAACAACGAUAAAAACGAUUCGAGAGAAUAGACAGGAACCAUCAGAAUGAGUCCAAUAAGAAACUUUUGCUCCUCUGGCUGAUUGUAAGCAGCUAAAUGCUCAAAAAUAAGGUACAUGGACAGGACAAGAGCAACAAGCACAAAUAUGCUAGCACUGAAGAUUGGCCAGCUGACAUUUACAAGAGAAUUUGUGCCCAGAUAUAAGGUCCAAACUUUCCCUGAACUACUUGUAGAUUCGACCAAGGUGAAAAGGAAAAACAAAGAACAGAAAGCUCCCCUCCAU
rnacentral:misc_RNA from 1 species